UUAACCAAUCCAUUCACUUAUGCUCUCUCAAAAAACGCUAACAGAGUGAGAAACCUCUCGACUCUCACAUGGUCGCCGCCCUCACCUUCUCCACCGUUGUCCUUCCCUUCGCGUGUCUGACUCCGCCCUCUCCUUCUCCAUCGUUGGCCUUCCCUCCUCUCAUCUCACCUACCCUCCGCUCGCAAACCAUCACUCGCUUCCAGCAAAUACGUGAACCCUCCUCCUCGAUCGUCAGUCUCCGAAAACGAAGAUUUCUCAGUUUCUGGUUACACGAAGUCUCAAGGUAGAACUCCUGUCACGUUUGGACCAACUGAUAUCCUUUGCUGUAGAACGCUACAAGGUCAUACCGGAAAGCAUGCCUAGGAAGCAAUUGAUAGUUUGGAGAUCUUCUGUUAUGGUGUAGAUCUUGUUUUCGAGGAUGUGUUAUUGUCCUCGUUUGUAGUUGCUGCCUGUUGGGCUGGAGUUUUUUUGUACAGUUUGGUAGUCUAGUACUGGUAUUGGUUUUGAAGCUAGGUAGUUUCUCCUGAGAUGGUUUAAGUUACUAUAUCAUAGCCUAGCUUAGGUUACUGCAGAAAUCUUAUAGGUCCAAACUUUGCUGCACAAACUCAAAGUGGUUACCACAUUCCCCAUUGUCUUCUGUGAGAAUUCCAUUGCCAUUUAUUCAUACGUACAUCUUGAGUUGGGGUUUCUAUACGUUUGUAGUUGCUUAGUAUGAUUCUAAUUCUUGUUCACUUUCUAAUGUACAUGGACUAUGUUUUUGAUUUAUCCUAACUCUGGUCUAACUGCAAAAAAAAAAAAAAAUAUGUCGAUACACAAUUGUGACUUUGUUUUUUGUUCGCUUUUUCUAGUUGUCCUACUGCUGUAGUUUUCAG